rnacentral:rRNA from 1 species
CCUACGGGAGGCUGCAGUCGAGAAUCAUUCACAAUGGGGGAAACCCUGAUGGUGCGACGCCGCGUGGGGGAAUGAAGGUCUUCGGAUUGUAAACCCCUGUCAUGUGGGAGCAAAUUAAAAAGAUAGUACCACAAGAGGAAGAGACGGCUAACUCUGUGCCACCAGCCGCGGUAAUACAGAGGUCUCAAGCGUUGUUCGGAAUCACUGGGCGUAAAGCGUGCGGAGGGUGUUUCGUAAGUCGUGUGUGAAAGGGGGGAGCUCAACCCGCGGAGGGCAAAUGAUACUGGGAGACUAGAGUAAUGGAGGGGGAACCGGAAUUCUCGGUGUAGCAGUGAAAUGCGUAGAUAUCGAGAGGAACACUCGUGGCGAAGGCGGGUUCCUGGACAUUAACUGACGCUGAUGCACGAAGGCCAGGGGAGCGAAAGGGAUUAGAUACCCGUGUAGUC